GCCUCGGAGGUGUAGUGGUAGCAGCACGUGUCUCCGGUAUGGAUGAAACCCGGGUUCAAUUCUCGUCUGAGGCC